rnacentral:rRNA from 1 species
UACGUAGGGGACAAGCGUUGUCCGGAAUCAUUGGGCGUAAAGCGCGCGUAGGCGGCCCUGUAAGUCCGUUGUGAAAGUCAAAGGCUCAACCUUUGAAUGCCGAUGGAUACUGCAGGGCUAGAGUCCGGAAGAGGCGAGUGGAAUUCCUGGUGUAGCGGUGGAAUGCGCAGAUAUCAGGAGGAAUACCGAUAGCGAAGGCAGCUCGCUGGGACGUUACUGACGCUGAGGCGCGAAAGCGUGGGGAGCAAUCAGG